CGGGAAGCCACCUGGCGACAGGGAGCGGAACCCGGAAGCCUGUCUCAGUUCGGAUUGGAGUCUGCAACCCGACUCCAUGAAGCUGGAUUCGCUAGUAAUCGCGCAUCAGCCACGGCGCGGUGAAUACGUUCCCGGGCCUUGUACACACCGCCCGUCAAGCCAUGGGAGUCGGGAGUGCCUGAAGUGCGUGAGCGCGAGCAGCGCCCUAGGGCAAAACCGAUGACUGGGGCUAAGUCGUAACAAGGUACC
rnacentral:rRNA from 1 species